AGACUAACCUGGCAAGGAGCCCCCAAUGAGCCACCUCUCCUCACCCCCCAAAAAACAUAAGGGGGAGCGCAAAGGCCACAGUCUCCCCCAUGGUUCAGAAAGGGGUAGCUCCUCCCGGGACAAGGACCGAAGUGCGACGGUCAGUAGUUCAGUGCCCAUGCCUGCUGGAGGGAAGGGAAGCCAUCCUUCAUCUACACCCCAGAGGGUCCCCAACCGCCUGAUCCACGAGAAGUCACCAUACCUCCUACAACAUGCCUACAAUCCUGUGGACUGGUACCCCUGGGGACAGGAAGCCUUCGACAAGGCCAGGAAGGAAAACAAGCCGAUUUUCCUCUCAGGUAAUGCUCCCACCUUCCCUGAUGUGGGGGUGUGGGCAGGGAGCGGCAGUGGAUGGGGGAGGGCCCUCUCGGCCUGGCGGGUCUUCCAGGAGACUAGAGGCCAGGACGUCUUCCAUGUAGCCAGGGCCACUUGGCCAGCCUCCCUCUGACCCGUUGCUGGCCCCCUGACCUCUCCCCAUGGCCCUGUUCAGUCGGG
rnacentral:sRNA from 1 species